rnacentral:rRNA from 1 species
UACGAAGGUGGCUAGCGUUGCUCGGAAUCACUGGGCGUAAAGCGCACGUAGGCGGCUUUCUAAGUCAGGGGUGAAAUCCUGGAGCUCAACUCCAGAACUGCCUUUGAUACUGGGAAGCUCGAGUCCGGAAGAGGUGAGUGGAACUCCGAGUGUAGAGGUGAAAUUCGUAGAUAUUCGGAAGAACACCAGUGGCGAAGGCGGCUCACUGGUCCGGUACUGACGCUGAGGUGCGAAAGCGUGGGGAGCAAACAGG